rnacentral:tRNA from 1 species
ACUGUUUUAGCAAAAUUAGUGCAUUAAAUUUAGAAUUUAAAUAAAUGAUUAUAUAAUCAUAUACAGUA